UACUUACAUAAAAAAAAGUAACUAUUUUUCUUCCCAUUUUCACUCCCCAAACCGUCAGCCACCACCUUGAUCCCAAGAUAUGAAUUUUUCCAUCAAGUUUAACUAUGCUUUUGUCGAUUCGUCUCACCAAAUGUUUAACCGAAGCUUUAUCAAGGUUAGUUGGCAUUGGAGAGUACCAGUCGAUGUUUGUUCAUGUCCGUCUCAGCGCUGCAUCCUUGGUGGGUCACUGAGCUAUAUUACAGAUAGAUCUUUUGAAUUAUUAGUUGCGGCAUGUUAGCACUAAAUUUUAUACUAAGUUAACUCCGCUGUAAUUAUAAAUAUUGAUUGAUGAUUUAAUUUUAUUUUUUUUAAUUCA